rnacentral:rRNA from 1 species
CCAGACUCCUACGGGAGGCAGCAGUAGGGAAUCUUCGGCAAUGGACGGAGGUCUGACCGAGCAACGCCGCGUGAGUGAAGAAGGUUUUCGGAUCGUAAAGCUCUGUUGUUAAGGAAGAACGAGUGUGAGAAUGGAAAGUUCAUACUGUGACGGUACUUAACCAGAAAGGGACGGCUAACUACGUGCCAGCAGCCGCGGUAAUACGUAGGUCCCGAGCGUUGUCCGGAUUUAUUGGGCGUAAAGCGAGCGCAGGCGGUUAGAUAAGUCUGAAGUUAAAGGCAGUGGCUCAACCAUUGUAGGCUUUGGAAACUGUUUAACUUGAGUGCAGAAGGGGAGAGUGGAAUUCCAUGUGUAGCGGUGAAAUGCGUGGAUAUAUGGAGGAACACCGGUGGCGAAAGCGGCUCUCUGGUCUGUAACUGACGCUGAGGCUCGAAAGCGUGGGGAGCGAACAGGAUUAGAUACCCUGGUAGUCCACGCCGUAAACGAUGAGUGCUAGGUGUUAGGUCCUUUCCGGGACUUAGUGCCGCAGCUAACGCAUUAAGCACUCCGCCUGGGGAGUACGACCGCAAGGUUGAAACUCAAAGGAAUUGACGGGGGCCCGCACAAG